GUUCAUACGUGUGCUCUUUGAUGCCUGGAUUAGAAAAAGCCCAUACUUCUCAAGUUCCACAAGAAUAUUCCUUCAGGGAAUGCAAAACUGAAAGUGGUUAAACAUUUAAAAA